UGGGACUCCUACGGGAGGCAGCAGUGGGCCCCACUCCUACGGGAGGCAGCAGUGGGACUCCUACGGGAGGCAGCAGUGGGACUCCUACGGGAGGCAGCAGUGGGACUCCUACGGGAGGCAGCAGUGGGGCAGUUGGCUCAGAACGAACGCUGGCGGCUGGCUCAGAACGAACGCUGGCGGCCCCACUCCUACGGAGGCAGCAGUG
rnacentral:misc_RNA from 1 species